rnacentral:rRNA from 1 species
CAAUAGCGUAUAUUAAAGUUGUUGCAGUUAAAAAGCUCGUAGUUGAAUUUCUGUCAGGAGUGACCGGGCCUUUGGAUGAACUUCCAUUGUUUUUGCUCUGUUUGUCAUCUCUAGACAUCCUGAAAUAUUUUUUACAAAUAUUUCUCUUUUACUGUUAGCAAAAUAGAGUGUUCCAAGCAAAGCGUAGUUUUGAAUACAUUAGAAUGGAAUAAUAAGAUAGGACUUUGGUGCUAUUUUGUUGGUUUGCACACCAAGGUAAUGAUUAAUAGGGACAGUUGGGGGUAUUCGUAUUUAAUUGUCAGAGGUGAAAUUCUUGGAUUUAUGAAAGACGAACUGCUGCGAAAGCAUUUACCAAGGAUGUUUUCAUUAA